UGAAUUGCAUAGCCAAGGUUAGUGUGGCCUGUGCCUGAACUGGUAAGUCCAAUGAAUCGGUAGUUGUCAUUCUCAACUGCAUUAAUGUUUCUUUUUUUUUUUUUUUUUUUUUUUUUUUAAGUGCAGAUCAGUGAAUAGACAUGACACUGGUAUCUUUUAUUGGUUAAAAUGUUAAAAUGUUUAAAACAAGGACAGUAUUGUCAGAAUUCUGCAAUACACAGCCUCUUAAUACCACUGGAGACUACAAAUGGGUAUUUAUAAUUUAGAAGAUGAGAAUUUCUUGAUCUGUAAGCAAUGAUAGCACUUUAUAAUUGGAAACAACUGAAAAAUAUACUAACAACACUCUUCUGAGAUAAAUAGUACGAUAUUUUAUUUCAAGUAUUUAGAAAUUAGGACAGUAGAGUAUAAACAAUGUUGAUGAAUCCACAGAUUGGCAAUUGAUGGAAGAGCUAUGUUUAAAAUUCCAGGAUACUAGGACCCAGUCCCCCACACUGUACCCACAAGGCCAUCUGUCCCUCUUCUUGAAUUUGUUUACAAGUCUCAGUAACCAAUAAGACUUGAUUAUUUUUGUUCUGUUUGUGUUGCUUUUUAAAAAUGUUUUGUUCAUGCAUGUACUGGAGAAGCUUAUUUUCUGGAGUUACAUGAUUGUUGCACAAAACAAUUACACAAUUUGUCCCCCAACAGAAGCAAAAUAGAUGCAUGAUUGGAGCUUAUCAUUUUGAUUUGCACUGUAACCUCAUCACUACACAUCACAGAAGAAUAUGCAAAGGGGACAGAAUAUCAUUCUUUUCCUACUGAGCUCCUCAGUAUAUUGUUUAUUUAUUCAAGGAACAGGAUCUCUAAUGUGAAUAUUACACAUUACAAUUCACUAUGAAAAACUUAAUGGUACCUGAAGAUCACGUUUUUCUAUGUUGCUCAAGUCACAUGAAUUUACUUCCUUCAAGCCAUUUAACUAGCAGACAAUUAAAACCUAUCUGUAAGGAAUUAAUAUUCUGUUCAAAUAAAUAUGUGGAGCAGAAACAGGUUUUUCUGUUUUUCCUGAUCCUUGCUCAAGAAUCUAUAUUCAGAGCAGUGAAUUACAAGCUAUCAGUUUAAACAAUGUUGUAUUUUCUUUUUAUAGAGAAGACAGACCUUUAUUUUUUCAGUGAUAAGCAAGGAAAUUAAUUAUAAACAAAAAAAAAAUAUAUUUUCUUGUAGUAGUUUCCUUAUUCUCUUGUUUUUAAGCUGCUGAAAACUUUUAUGAACAUGUUUUAUUCAUUGUACUGAAGUGACUGUGAUAGUAUACUUUCCUCUACCUCAGCAAGACUGUUUCACCCAAAUCCUUGCUGGAGCAGUAACUGCCUGUGGCAGCUGUGGUGGCUGUAUCCAGUUACACAGUAGCCAAGGGCUAACAAGUGAACUGGGAUGCAAUAUGCAAUAUGACUACCAGUCAGUCAUCUUACCUCGCAUGUAUCAGACAGCCCAGAGCCCUUUGAGCUCUCCUGAAGAGCAGUGGGCUUCUUCCAGCAACUUGUCUUGAGGAGGGACUCAUCAAGGUUGAGACGGACUUUCAGUAAGUGAAAUAAUAGCCAGUGGAAACUUUGCAAACUUUGUUAAGUUGCAUCUUGGAUCGAUUGUGUAUAUAAUCCUCUGUACAUAAACUGUUAAAUCUGGGACUAAGUUUGGAUGCAGCUGUUUGGAAGCGGUUUGGAAAGCAAAGGGGUCUGCUAUCAAACUCAUGAUUCAGUGAGAGUGUUUCCUUGACAAUUUCAUCUGUGCUGUCCUCUACGCAGCACUGAAUAUAUGCAACACAAGAGGACCAUAUGUAAGGUUUCAAGCACGUGACUGUCACAUGAACUUUCCUGUGGGUCUCCUUUGAGGAACUAGAAGAUGGCUAUAAGAUCUCCCCAGAGCCUUCUCUUCUCUAGCCUGAAAAGACCCAACUCCUUCAGCCUGUCCCUGCAGGGAAGGUGCUCAAGCUCCCUGAUGCUC